rnacentral:rRNA from 1 species
UACGUAGGUGGCAAGCGUUGUUCGGAAUUAUUGGGCGUAAAGGGCGCGUAGGCGGUUUGUUAAGUCGGCUGUGAAAGCCCGGGGCUCAACCCCGGAGGGUCAGCCGAUACUGGCAGACUAGAGUACGGAAGAGGUAGCUGGAAUUCCCGGUGUAGCGGUGAAAAUGCGUAGAUAUCGGGAGGAACACCUGAGGCGAAGGGCGGGCUACUGGGCCGAUACUGACGCUGAUGCGCGAAAGCCAGGG